UCUAGUGAUGAUGGCAAAGAGGUCACACCCGUUCCCAUACCGAACACGGAAGUUAAGCUCUUUAGCGCCGAUGGUAGUUGGGGGCUUCCC
rnacentral:rRNA from 1 species